GGGAAUAGCUCAGUGGUAGAGCAUCAGCUUCCCAAGCUGAGGGCCGCGGGUUCGAGUCCCGUUUCCC
rnacentral:tRNA from 1 species